AAUAACUCUGCUCACUGAUACUGCUUCUCCAUAUUUCAAACUGUUUCUUCUCUUCCAAAGUUCUCAUACAAUGCAUGCAGGAAGUAAUUCCAAACACUCCUAGCUGCAUUGGAUGUGAAGAACAAAUGUACUAAUGACUCCUCCUUAGGAUCAGCACAGCACCAACAUUUUGAUGGCAUGGAGUAUCCUAUUUUACGCAAGAAAUCAUCAAAUGGCAGUUUGGCUUUCCACACCUUCCAAAUGAAGAAGGAUAUCUUGAAAGAAUGGUGUAUCUAACUCUGCACAUUCGUUUGGUGGUCUAAUAUUCUGCACAAUGUGGUUUGCCAAAUCUUCAGGCACUUGGAAAUAUAAGGCUCCCAGCUCAGUCCAAUUGUCGAACCAUAAUUGAGCUGAUCCCAUUCUCGGUUUCCAGUAUAUUUGAUGCUCAAUCAAGUCCCUACAUUCUAGCAUUUUUCUCCACACGCGGGAUCCACGCUUCUAAGAAUAGUGCCUUGGAUACAUCAUAUAGGGACCUGAAGCCUAUGCCUCCCUCCUCAUAAGGCAUGCAAAGCUCUGCCUCCUACAGAUAGGAGUUUGCCUUUCCACGACAGCAGUUUGUCCAUGACCUUAGUGAUUGAUCCCUGGUAUAUGGCAGAUUUGGCUUUGUUCACCAGUUGAUCAGACGAUGAUUCAUAAGCUUGCAAAACCUCCAUGACAAGUCUCAGUGAAGUUUCAUCAGAUGAGGAGAAAAUGAUUGUAUCAUCAAUGUAUGAGAGAUGAUUUAUUUUUGGGCUCCAUUUUGGCAUUCCAAAUCCACAGAAAUACAGGAUUGACUUCAAAUUGCCUUUCAUGAACCAAGACCACCUCCUCCAGGCUUGUAAUCUUCUGGAAUAUAUCCCCAUAUGUAGCUCUGCUCCAGGUCUAGACAGACAGACGGGUAGACCUCCCCAGUAGGUGUUUGCCCGAGUUCAACUAUAUCGGUCCAGACAGAUAGACGGGUAGACCUCCUCAGUAGGUGUUUUCCCGAGUUCAGCUUUAUCAGUAAGCUCCCCAUCCUUCGGAGUUGCUGGGUCUAGAAGUUUAGUGUACAUCUUGUGUAUAUAUAUAGAUAGGUUAUGGGUAGGACGGAGCCCUGUUCCAAUCAUAGUAUAUCUACUAGUAGAGGCUUGUAGACAUAUCCUAUCAGUUAGUGCAGUAUGAUGGGCUUGUAGGCCCUAUACGUAUAUUUUGUUGGCUUGUCAGUUUUAGAAAUUAU